rnacentral:rRNA from 1 species
CCUACGGGAGGCAGCAGUGGGGAAUAUUGGACAAUGGGCGAAAGCCUGAUCCAGCAAUGCCGCGUGAGUGAUGAAGGCCUUCGGGUCGUAAAGCUCUUUUACCAGGGAUGAUAAUGACAGUACCUGGAGAAUAAGCUCCGGCUAACUCCGUGCCAGCAGCCGCGGUAAUACGGAGGGAGCUAGCGUUGUUCGGAAUUACUGGGCGUAAAGAGUACGUAGGCGGUUAUUCAAGUCAGAGGUGAAAGCCCGGGGCUCAACCCCGGAACUGCCUUUGAAACUAGAUAACUAGAGUCUUGGAGAGGUUAGUGGAAUUCCGAGUGUAGAGGUGAAAUUCGUAGAUAUUCGGAAGAACACCAGUGGCGAAGGCGACUAACUGGACAAGUACUGACGCUGAGGUACGAAAGCGUGGGGAGCAAACAGGAUUAGAUACCCUGGUAGUCCACGCCGUAAACGAUGAUAACUAGUUGUUCGGUCACUUGGUGACUGAGUGACGCAGCUAACGCAUUAAGUUAUCCGCCUGGGGAGUACGGUCGCAAGNUUAAAACUCAAAGGAAUUGACGGNUGAGACGNGCGAGCGACACGAGGAGAG